UACGUAGGUGGCAAGCGUUGUCCGGAUUUACUGGGCGUAAAGAGCGCGCAGGCGGUCGUUCAAGUCGCGUGUGAAAGCCCCCGGCUCAACUGGGGAGGGUCACGCGAUACUGAUCGACUCGAAGGCAGGAGAGGGAAGUGGAAUUCCCGGUGUAGUGGUGAAAUGCGUAGAUAUCGGGAGGAACACCAGUGGCGAAGGCGACUCCUGGCCUGUUCUUGACGCUGAGGCGCGAAAGCUAGGGGAGCA
rnacentral:rRNA from 1 species